rnacentral:rRNA from 1 species
AAACGAUGAGUGCUAAGUGUGGAGGGUUUCCCCCUUCAGUGCUGCAGUUAACGCAUUAAGCACUCCGCCUGGGGAGUACGACCGCAAGGUUGAAACUCAAAGGAAUUGACGGGGGCCCGCACAAGCGGUGGAGCAUGUGGUUUAAUUCGAAGCAACGCGAAGAACCUUACCAGGUCUUGACAUCCUUUGACCACUUUAGGGAUAAAGCUUUCCCUUCGGGGACAAAGUGACAGGUGGUGCAUGGUUGUCGUCAGCUCGUGUCGUGAGAUGUUGGGUUAAGUCCCGCAACGAGCGCAACCCUUAUUGUUAGUUGCCAUCAUUUAGUUGGGCACUCUAGCAAGACUGCCGGUGACAAACCGGAGGAAGGUGGGGAUGACGUCAAAUCAUCAUGCCCCUUAUGACCUGGGCUACACACGUGCUACAAUGGACGGUACAAUGAGUCGCAAGACCGCGAGGUUUAGCUAAUCUCUUAAAGCCGUUCUCAGUUCGGAUUGUAGGCUGCAACUCGCCUACAUGAAGCCGGAAUCGCUAGUAAUCGUGGAUCAGCACGCCACGGUGAAUACGUUCCCGGGCCUUGUACACACCGCCCGUCACACCACGAAAGUUUGUAACACCCGAAGUCGGUGAGGUAACCGCAAGGAGCCAACCGCCUAAGGUGGGAUAGAUGAUUGGGGUGAAGUCGUAACAAGGUAACCAAGGGCGAAUUCCAG